UAUUGAGCGUUGAAGGGUUGCAGUAAUGAUUUGUUUUCUGAUUUUAGAGAGCUGACGGUUGGUGAAAGUCAGUACAGAACAAAUUGUGAAUUACGUCCUGGAGUAUCUUCUGCGAAAUCAGAAGACGGUUAAAAACCGUUAUUUUUUCCGAGUGGUAACAAGAUUUCUUGUUACAACAAGGGUGGUACCGCGAUCAAACCUCGUCCCUUUU
rnacentral:ncRNA from 1 species